GAUGAACGCUGGCGGCGUGCCUAAUACAUGCAAGUCGAGCGAACAGACGAGGAGCUUGCUCCUUUGACGUUAGCGGCGGACGGGUGAGUAACACGUAGGUAACCUACCUAUAAGACUGGGAUAACUUCGGGAAACCGGAGCUAAUACCGGAUAAUAUUUCGAACCGCAUGGUUCGAUAGUGAAAGAUGGCUUUGCUAUCACUUAUAGAUGGACCUGCGCCGUAUUAGCUAGUUGGUAAGGUAACGGCUUACCAAGGCAACGAUACGUAGCCGACCUGAGAGGGUGAUCGGCCACACUGGAACUGGGACACGGUCCAGACUCCUACGGGAGGCAGCAGUAGGGAAUCUUCCGCAAUGGGCGAAAGCCUGACGGAGCAACGCCGCGUGAGUGAUGAAGGUCUUCGGAUCGUAAAACUCUGUUAUUAGGGAAGAACAAACGUGUAAGUAACUGUGCACGUCUUGACGGUACCUAAUCGGAAAGCCACGGCUAACUACGUG
rnacentral:rRNA from 1 species